AGCGAACGCUGGCGGCAGGCCUAACACAUGCAAGUCGAACGGACCCUUCGGGGUUAGUGGCGGACGGGUGAGUAACACGUGGGAACGUGCCUUUAGGUUCGGAGUAGCUCCUGGAAACGGGUGGUAAUGCCGAAUGUGCCCUUCGGGGGAAAGAUUUAUCGCCUUUAGAGCGGCCCGCGUCUGAUUAGCUAGUUGGUGAGGUAAUGGCUCACCAAGGCGACGAUCAGUAGCUGGUCUGAGUGGAGGACCAGCCACACUGGGACUGAGACACGGCCCAGACUCCUACGGGAGGCAGCAGUGGGGAAUCUUGCGCAAUGGGCGAAAGCCUGACGCAGCCAUGCCGCGUGAAUGAUGAAGGUCUUAGGAUUGUAAAAUUCUUUCACCGGGGACGAUAAUGACGGUACCCGGAGAAGAAGCCCCGGCUAACUUCGUGCCAGCAGCCGCCGCGG
rnacentral:rRNA from 1 species